rnacentral:rRNA from 2 species
AAAGGUAAGCUACUAAGAGCGAAUGGUGGAUGCCUUGACUGGUAAAGGCGAUGAAGGACGUACUAGACUGCGAUAAGCUACGGGGAGCUGUCAAGAAGCUUUGAUCCGUAGAUUUCCGAAUGGGGCAACCCAAUGUAUAGAGAUAUACAUUACCUAUAUAGGAGCGAACGAGGGGAAUUGAAACAUCUUAGUACCCUCAGGAAAAGAAAUCAAUAGAGAUUGCGUCAGUAGCGGCGAGCGAAAGCGCAAGAGGGCAAACCCAGUGCUUGCACUGGGGGUUGUAGGACUGCAAUGUGCAAGAGGUAAGUUUAGCAGAACAUUCUGGAAAGUAUAACCAUAGAGGGUGAUAGUCCCGUAUGCGAAAAACAAACCUUAGCUAGCAGUAUCCUGAGUAGGGCGGGACACGAGGAAUCCUGUCUGAAUCCGGGUCGACCACGAUCCAACCCUAAAUACUAAUACCAGAUCGAUAGUGCACAAGUACCGUGAGGGAAAGGUGAAAAGAACUGAGGUGAUCAGAGUGAAAUAGAACCUGAAACCAUUUGCUUACAAUCAUUCAGAGCCCUAUGUAGCAAUACAG